CCCACUGAGCCAACCAGGCGCCCCAUAAAACUCCAUUUUAUUUUGAAUUACAUAUGGAAGUGACUGUUAAUGUCAAGAUCUUUUUACUGUCUUUCCAAUUUUUUAGUACAUUAGGUCUUAGUUUGAGCCCCAUAAAAUAUAAAUACUCUUGAGAAACUCUAACUUUGCAUUCCGUUUCUAUUUCUGUGCAACAAACUACCAUACAUUUAGCAACUUAAAACAACACCCAUGUAUUAGCUUUGUGAUUUAGACCAGUCACUUCAUUUCUGGGCUUCAAGUUUCUCCUCUGUCGUGUUCUGUGCAUGAAAUGGGGCUGUUUUUAAAGAGUGUUGUCAGUUUAGACUUUCUGAAACUUGGUUCCAAAGUCACACAGGCUCUCUAGUUGUACAGAUGCUUGGCAUCACUUACAAGGAGCGAUGAAAGGGCUGAGGAUGGCUCAUUAAAAUGGAACCCUAUCGAAUGUGCGCUGCCAACAGAGCCCCAGGGGUCACGGUAGCAUCUGAAGGGUAGCUUUCGAAAAGUAAUUGAUACUAGAGGAUGGUCAGGAUGAGGAUGGCCAGACUUGUGUUUCACAAGGUCAUUCAUUCAAGCACUCUUACUCCCAAGCAUCUGGACAGCACUCCCUACCAUGCUUGGGGCUUUCAGAGAUCAAAGUAAAAAACAAUAACAGGGCUUCUUAUAUUUAGGAGCAGACCAGGUAUGGAAGACACUAGGGCUGCCCACCAGUAUUUCCUGCUUUCCUUCCUUCGGCCAAACAGUAUGAUUGUACUUCCCCAGCCUCUGAAGGUGGAUAUUCCAUGUGAUGUUUUUGGUGAAUGAGCCGUGAGUGGGAGAGGAGUAGGUCCCUUCUGAGUGGAAACACUUAAGAACUGAGGAGAAUCUAGUACAAACCAAACAUCAACCCCCAAAUCUGAAAUUUAGGACCACACUUUAUGGAGAUGGAGCCUGCGUUGUUCUCAAACCAGCCAAGUAUCUCCACACUGUAGGACAGCCCAGGAGCUGAGCUGGCUUGCAAGAAUGCUCCCUCCGUAGAUGCCAGACAGCUACAACCUGGGAUUCCUGACAUGAGCGUGGCUUUCCUGUGGCCUCCAUCAUCCGCGACAUUGAUGGCAUGAGCUAAUUCUGCAAGCACACACAAUGCUCGUGUGUCAUCAAGAUUUUAUGAUGCUCUGAUAUCUUGGAGACUAGCUGACAGGGGAGACACUGUCCCUCUCAGGGUAAGCCAAUUCCUAGAGAGAGCUAUGACUUCUCUGUACCAAACCAAAAACCGACUGAUCCAAAGCCCAUCUCCCCUACCCACCUCCUCUUUUGGGCUCUCACAUUCUGGGCCACUAUUCCCUGCCGCCGUAAUCACCACAGGGCCAGGUACCAGACAGCUAGGGACAGCCCCUAUGCCCUGAACCUCCUUUAAGUAUUCCUGUUAGCCAAUCCUAAGUGUACAAGGCCUGCUAACCCUGCCUCAUCCAUUUCUUCCAGCCAAAACCACGAGAAAAGUUCUCACCCAUGCUUUCUCCUUGCUUCCUCUGCCUCCGGACUAACUCACUCCUUCCUCCUAAGGCUCUGACAGUGUGGUGUGUGCC